rnacentral:rRNA from 1 species
CGGACGGGUGAGUAACACGUGGAUAACCUACCUAUAAGACUGGGAUAACUUCGGGAGACCGGAGCUAAUACCGGAUAAUAUAUUGAACCGCAUGGUUCAAUAGUGAAAGACGGUUUUGCUGUCACUUAUAGAUGGAUCCGCGCCGCAUUAGCUAGUCGGUAAGGUAACGGCUUACCAAGGCAACGAUGCGUAGCCGACCUGAGAGGGUGAUCGGCCACACUGGAACUGAGACACGGUCCAG